GCGACUGCUGCGCCCCCGGGUUGUAGACCGCUGCUUGGAAAACGCCGUUCCGGGACGCGAGGAAGACGCCGCCCGUGUCGAUGAAGAGGAGGCUCGACGCCGUGAAGUUGGGGUACAGGUACUCCACCGCAACGGCCCCCGCUGCGGCGAGACGCGCGUUGAGGAGGAGCUGGUGGAAAACAGAGAGAAAGAGGAGGGGAUAGGCGAAGCGACGCAUUGGAGAAGAGAAUGAGAGCCCAUGGACCGGAGCAGAGAGGGAGGGGGGGAGGAGGAGGAGAUGAUGAUGAUGAUGACGAUGAUGAGGUUGACGGGUGUGUCCGUUGACUUGUGGUGCUGGGACCCACACACGCAAGGGAUUNCGGCGUGGACCAGAGGAGGGAACCGCUGGGGCUGGUCACGGCGAGGCCGAGCGGGGUGAGGGCGACGAGCCCCGAGCGGUCCGGGAUGGGCGCGGCGCGGUUCGCGGCCCACACCGCGGCGCCGGACGCGGCGUGGAGCACGGAGAAGUAGAACCGCGACUGCUGCGCCCCCGGGUUGUAGACCGCUGCUUGGAAAACGCCGUUCCGGGACGCGAGGAAGACGCCGCCCGUGUCGAUGAAGAGGAGGCUCGACGCCGUGAAGUUGGGGUACAGGUACUCCACCGCCACCGCCCCCGCCGCGGCGAGACGCGCGUUGAGGAGGAGCUGGUGGAAAACAGAGAGAAAGAGGAGGGGAUAGGCGAAGCGACGCAUUGGAGAAGAGAAUGAGAG
rnacentral:lncRNA from 1 species